rnacentral:lncRNA from 13 species
CUAUGGUACUGAUAGUUUUCCUCUGCUCAUAGAACUUAUAUACCUUCUUUGAUAUCAUUACUCCAAUUUUCAUUUACAGAAUUGCAGUUUUUUCAUGACCUGACAUGUCUUCAUUCCCGAUGUAUGGAAGUUGCAGUGGCAUGCCCUUCUCCGGCCACAGGAAUUAGCAAUCUUGAGGCUAGAGGCAUGAUCUUCAAAAAGCUGAGAUAAUAGCAGGAAUAACUUCUUUUGAUCCAGGAAGUACAUGUGCAAGAUUGCUGUGUGGGUAUAUUGCAUGAUGCUAAGGUUUGGCUUACUAAUGAUCCUGUCACCCAAGUAGUGAACAUAGUACCCAAUAGGUACUUUUCUAACCCUUUCCUCCCUGUGUCCCUCCCUCAAUUUGGGAUCCCCAGUGUUUGUUGUUCCCAUCUUGUGUCCAUGUGUAUUCAAUGUUUAGCUCCCACCUGUAAGUAAGAACAUGUGGUAUUUGGUGUUUAUGCAUUAAUUUACUUAAGAUAAUGGUCCAGCUGCAUUCAUGUUGCUGAGAAGGACAUGAUUUUGUUAUUUUGUAUGGCUAUGUAGAUUCCAUGAUGUAUAUAUACAUUCUCUUUCUCCAAUCCAAUGUUGAUGUACACCUGGGUUGAUUCCACGUGUUUUACUAUUGUUAAUAGUGCUGUGCUAAACAUAAAAAUGCAGGUGUCUCUAUGGGAGAAUGAUUUAUUUCCUUUUGGGUAAUAAAUUCCCAGUAAUGAGAUUGCA